GCGGUAGAGAGAAGCUUGCUUCUCUUGAGAGCGGCGGACGGGUGAGCAAUGCCUAGGAAUCUGCCUGGUAGUGGGGGAUAACGUUCGGAAACGGACGCUAAUACCGCAUACGUCCUACGGGAGAAAGCAGGGGACCUUCGGGCCUUGCGCUAUCAGAUGAGCCUAGGUCGGAUUAGCUAGUUGGUGAGGUAAUGGCUCACCAAGGCGACGAUCCGUAACUGGUCUGAGAGGAUGAUCAGUCACACUGGAACUGAGACACGGUCCAGACUCCUACGGGAGGCAGCAGUGGGGAAUAUUGGACAAUGGGCGAAAGCCUGAUCCAGCCAUGCCGCGUGUGUGAAGAAGGUCUUCGGAUUGUAAAGCACUUUAAGUUGGGAGGAAGGGUUGUAGAUUAAUACUCUGCAAUUUUGACGUUACCGACAGAAUAAGCACCGGCUAACUCUGUGCCAGCAGCCGCGGUAAUACAGAGGGUGCAAGCGUUAAUCGGAAUUACUGGGCGUAAAGCGCGCGUAGGUGGUUUGUUAAGUUGGAUGUGAAAUGCCCGGGCUCAACCUGGGAACUGCAUUCAAAACUGACUGACUAGAGUAUGGUAGAGGGUGGUGGAAUUUCCUGUGUAGCGGUGAAAUGCGUAGAUAUAGGAAGGAACACCAGUGGCGAAGGCGACCACCUGGACUAAUACUGACACUGAGGUGCGAAAGCGUGGGGAGCAAACAGGAUUAGAUACCCUGGUAGUCCACGCCGUAAACGAUGUCAACUAGCCGUUGGAAGCCUUGAGCUUUUAGUGGCGCAGCUAACGCAUUAAGUUGACCGCCUGGGGAGUAC
rnacentral:rRNA from 1 species